rnacentral:rRNA from 1 species
GACGAACGCUGGCGGCGUGCCUAAUACAUGCAAGUAGAACGCACAGUUUAUGCCGUAGCUUGCUACACCAUAGACUGUGAGUUGCGAACGGGUGAGUAACGCGUAGGUAACCUGCCUGGUAGCGGGUGAUAACUAUUGGAAACGAUAGCUAAUACCGCAUAAUAUUAAUUAUUGCAUGAUAAUUAAUUGAAAGGUGCAAUUGCACCACUACCAGAUGGACCUGCGUUGUAUUAGCUAGUAGGUGAGGUAACGGCUCACCUAGGCGACGAUACAUAGCCGACCUGAGAGGGUGAUCGGCCACACUGGGACUGAGACACGGCCCAGACUCCUACGGGAGGCAGCAGUAGGGAAUCUUCGGCAAUGGACGAAAGUCUGACCGAGCAACGCCGCGUGAGUGAAGAAGGUUUUCGGAUCGUAAAGCUCUGUUGUAAGAGAAGAACGGGUGUGAGAGUGGAAAGUUCACACUGUGACGGUAUCUGACCAGAAAGGGACGGCUAACUACGUG